rnacentral:rRNA from 1 species
GGAGUAUGGGCCGUGUCUCAGUCCCAUUGUGGCCGGUCAUCCUCUCAGAUCGGCUACGCAUCCCAGCCUUGGUGGGCUUUUAUCUCACCAACUAGCUAAUGCGACGCAGGUCCAUCUAAAAGUGGCGCCUUGCAGCGCCUUUCAAACAAAAGAGAUGUCUCAAAUGUUGUUAUCCGGUAUUAGCCAAACUUUCGUCUGGGUAUCCCACGUCUUAAAGGUAGGUUACCUACGUGUUACUCACCCGUACGCCUCUGACGUAUUGCUACGCCCCGAUCGACUUGCAUGUAUUAGGCACACCGCCAGCGUUCAUC